UAGAUUAAUGACAACAGUGUGUCAUGAACUGAAGAUUAAAAUUAAUUCAAUUCUGUGCACUUGAGGUCCAUU
rnacentral:snoRNA from 1 species